GAUGAACGCUAGCUACAGGCUUAACACAUGCAAGUCGAGGGGUAACGAGAGGGAAGCUUGCUUUCCUUGUCGACGACCGGCGCACGGGUGAGUAACGCGUAUCCAACCUGCCCCCAACUAGGGAAUAACCUUGCGAAAGUAAGACUAAUACCCUAUAAUUUCCUCAGAUGCCAUCUGACGAGGAAUAAAGAUUUAUCGGUUGUGGAUGGGGAUGCGUCUGAUUAGCUUGUUGGCGGGGUAACGGCCCACCAAGGCAACGAUCAGUAGGGGUUCUGAGAGGAAGGUACCCCACAGUGGAACUGAGACACGGUCCAAACUCCUACGGGAGGCAGCAGUGAGGAAUAUUGGUCAAUGGGCGGAAGCCUGAACCAGCCAAGUAGCGUGCAGGAUGACGGCCCUAUGGGUUGUAAACUGCUUUUAUACAGGAAUAAAGUUAGCCACGUGUGGUUAUUUGUAGGUACUGUAUGAAUAAGGACCGGCUAAUUCCGUGCCAGCCGCCGCCGUAA
rnacentral:rRNA from 1 species